rnacentral:rRNA from 1 species
UACGUAGGGGGCAAGCGUUGUCCGGAAUUAUUGGGCGUAAAGAGCGCGUAGGCGGUCCGAUAAGUCGGCUGUGAAAGUCAUGGGCUCAACCCAUGAAAGCCGGCCGAUACUGUCGGACUAGAGUUCGGAAGAGGCGAGUGGAAUUCCUGGUGUAGCGGUGAAAUGCGCAGAUAUCAGGAGGAACACCGAUUGCGAAGGCAGCUCGCUGGGACGUUACUGACGCUGAGACGCGAAAGCGUGGGGAGCAAACAGG